rnacentral:rRNA from 2 species
ACUCAGGUGUUGUUGGGUAGGGGAGCGUUCUGUAAGCCUGUGAAGGUGUGUCGUGAGGCAUGCUGGAGGUAUCAGAAGUGCGAAUGCUGACAUAAGUAACGAUAAAGCGGGUGAAAAGCCCGCUCGCCGGAAGACCAAGGGUUCCUGUCCAACGUUAAUCGGGGCAGGGUGAGUCGACCCCUAAGGCGAGGCCGAAAGGCGUAGUCGAUGGGAAACGGGUUAAUAUUCCCGUACUUGGUGUUACUGCGAAGGGGGGACGGAGAAGGCUAUGUUGGCCGGGCGACGGUUGUCCCGGUUUAAGCGUGUAGGUGUGUGUUCCAGGUAAAUCCGGUUCACUUUAACACUGAGGCGUGACGACGAGGCACUACGGUGCUGAAGCAACAAAUGCCCUGCUUCCAGGAAAAGCCUCUAAGCAUCAGGUAACAUCAAAUCGUACCCCAAACCGACACAGGUGGUCAGGUAGAGAAUACCAAGGCGCUUGAGAGAACUCGGGUGAAGGAACUAGGCAAAAUGGUGCCGUAACUUCGGGAGAAGGCACGCUGACACGUAGGUGAAGUGAUUUACUCAUGGAGCUGAAGUCAGUCGAAGAUACCAGCUGGCUGCAACUGUUUAUUAAAAACACAGCACUGUGCAAACACGAAAGUGGACGUAUACGGUGUGACGCCUGCCCGGUGCCGGAAGGUUAAUUGAUGGGGUCAGCGCAAGCGAAGCUCCUGAUCGAAGCCCCGGUAAACGGCGGCCGUAACUAUAACGGUCCUAAGGUAGCGAAAUUCCUUGUCGGGUAAGUUCCGACCUGCACGAAUGGCGUAAUGAUGGCCAGGCUGUCUCCACCCGAGACUCAGUGAAAUUGAACUCGCUGUGAAGAUGCAGUGUACCCGCGGCAAGACGGAAAGACCCCGUGAACCUUUACUAUAGCUUGACACUGAACAUUGAGCCUUGAUGUGUAG